GACCUCGCAACGACAGCCCACCCCACACGAGGGGAGUGAAGUCCAACACACGCGCACCAACCCUCCUCCUCCUCCUUUCCUUCUCCCCACCUCGCCUCUUCCCCCAAACUCCGCAGAUUCUCCUCGCCGCUCUCCAAUCCGGCCGUCCCUGGGCGGUCACCAUCGCCGCCCGCCCUCACGACGAAGCAUCGACCCCUUCCCGCCGCCGCCUGCCUCGUCGCCGGCGCAUGAGAGCGAAUCAUGGGAGGAUUUUGCUGCUGCCUUUCCACAGACGAUUUUGAGGAAUAUGUUCAUCCAAAUAAUCCUGUCUAUAGACAAUGCAUAUCCCUAAGGCAGUUGUUUCACAACAUGUUUGGGGGGUAUACUGCAGCAUUCCAGAGGCUCGACUCUAGGCCAAGCAACCCAGCUCAAGGAGCUGCGCCAUUGGCAUCCACUAAUCCAAGUACUAAUAUAACUGAGAGUUCGCUGUCUGAAACUUUUCACCUUGUUUCUAGACCACCCCCAUAUGACAUUGACCCUAGAUAUGCCCGAGUUCAAAGAGAGGGACUGGUAUCAAGGCGUGAAAAGUCUAUAAACCUCACGCAUGAAGAGUCCCCAGCUCUUAGACGAAAUGGCAGCAGCUCCGGUGUCGAGCAUUUAGCUGCUCAAAAGAAAAGGAGCAGCACUGAUCCUGAGGGUGAACAUAAGGUGCGUCGUUCUGAGUCGACUAAGAGUCUUUCUGGAAGAGCAUAUAACAGCAGUUAUGCCGUCAUCACUUCAGACGACGAAGAUGUCUGCCCUACUUGUCUGGAAGAGUACACCCCGGAGAAUCCGCAGAUCAUAACUAAAUGCUCCCACCAUUUCCAUCUAAGUUGUAUUUAUGAGUGGAUGGAGAGAAGCGACACCUGCCCAAUUUGUGGGAAGGAAAUGGAGUUCUGCGAGAGCCCCUGAGAGAAACUUCCAUGCCGGUCGCAUCAGGAAGAGCGGGAAGAAGUAUCUGCAGCAUGGGAUGCUGGAGAGUCUGUAAAGGGAAAAAGUAUCUACAGCAUGGGAUGCUGGAGUCUGUAAAUAAUACCGUAGUUCUUUGAUGUCUGAAACCUAUCUCGUUCUCGAGAUCGACUUAUGUGUACUCAAAUCAGUCUACCAAAAAGUCUUGCUGGAUAUUUCGUGUGUAUAUUGUUGAAUGGCAGUUGGC
rnacentral:rRNA from 1 species